GCUGGGCGUGGUGGCGCAUGCCUGUAGUCCCAGCUACUCGGGAGGCUGAGGCAGGAGAAUCGCUUGAACCCAGGAAGCAGAGGUUGCAGUGAGCCAAGAUUGCACCACUGCACUCCAGCCUGGGUGACAGAGUAAGACUCUGUCUCAA
rnacentral:SRP_RNA from 2 species